AUUGAACGCUGGCGGCAUGCCUUACACAUGCAAGUCGAGCGGCAGCGCGGGGGCAACCCUGGCGGCGAGCGGCGAACGGGUGAGUAAUACAUCGGAACGUGUCCAGUAGCGGGGGAUAACCUGUCGAAAGAUAGGCUAAUACCGCAUACGACCUACGGGUGAAAGCGGGGGACUCUCGGGCAACUGAGGGCCUCGCACUAUUGGAGCGGCCGAUGUCGGAUUAGCUGGUUGGCGGGGUAAUGGCCCACCAAGGCGACGAUCCGUAGCUGGUCUGAGAGGCCGACCAGCCACACUGGAGCUGCGACACGGUCCAGACUCCUACGGGAGGCAGCAGGGGGGAAUUUUGGACAAUGGGCGCAAGCCUGAUCCAGCCAUGCCGCGUGGGUGAAGAAGGCCUUCGGGUUGUAAAGCUCUUUCGGCGGGGACGAAACGGUCCGUGCCAACACCACGGACUAAUGACAGUACUCGCAGAAGAAGCACCGGCUAACUACGUGCCAGCCGCCGCGGUAACAC
rnacentral:rRNA from 1 species